CCUACGGGAGGCAGCAGUGAGGAAUAUUGGUCAAUGGACGAGAGUCUGAACCAGCCAAGUAGCGUGAAGGAUGAAUGCCCUAUGGGUUGUAAACUUCUUUUAUAAAGGAAUAAAACGAGGCACGUGUGCCUUUUUGCAUGUACUUUAUGAAUAAGGAUCGGCUAACUCCGUGCCAGCAGCCGCGGUAAUACGGAGGAUCCGAGCGUUAUCCGGAUUUCUUGGGUUUAAAGGGAGCGUAGAUGGGUUGUUAAGUCAGUUGUGAAAGUUUGCGGCUCAACCGUAAAAUUGCAAUUGAUACUGGCAGUCUUGAGUACAGAUGAGGUAGGCGGAAUUCGUGGUGUAGCGGUGAAAUGCUUAGAUAGCACGAAGAACCCCGAUUGCGAAGGCAGCUUACUAAACUGUGACUGACAUUGAUGCUCGAAAGUGUGGGUAUCAAACAGGAUUAGAUACCCGGGUAGUC
rnacentral:rRNA from 1 species